GAUAGAUGACAUGGUUUAUUCUAUUGCUAAAGCAAUUAUUUUGAAGGUUGGAAAGAACUGACAUACUGUCACUGACGAUAAGCCACUUAUUCUGUUUUCUGGCACAUAUGUCUUCUUUUAUAUAUUUCAAGGCAUGCAAUAUAGCAAGUGCUUCUGCUGUGAAAAUGCUGGAUGAAGGUAUGCCAAGAGUCAAUAGCUCUCUAGUGAGAACUUUAUGGUCAACAUUAUUAAAUGCUCCAACAACAUCAAGAAAAACACAGACAAGGAAUCUGUUAUAUGCAAAUGCACUAUGAAUAUCUAAGUAAAGAUUAUUCAUACUUUCAGCAGCAGAAAAACCUCUACGGAAACCAAAUUGAUUUGAAGAUGGUCGAUAAUGGCGUUUGUCUAUUGAGUAACUCACAAAAAGCUGUCCAAGAAGCUUCUCUUUCUUUAUUAAGUAAUAGCUGAACAAGAUGCUAAUGACAGUUGGCAAGAGAUAGCUGCCCAUUGGAUCAUUGUGAACAGACCAGUUGCAACGAAGUGAUAGUGAUGAUGAAACAAUUGUGAGAUCUAAUGCAUUGGGACGCCAAUUGUGGGAACCCACAGUGGUGGCUUGUCCAUCAUUGAGUAUACAAAGAUCACUAUCUUCAAUAAUAUUAUGUAGUGUUGUACCACUACCAUUAUUCGAAGUGCAACCCCACAUCGUAUGAUGAGCAUUAAAAUCACCUGCCAAUAGCAAGGGCUUUGGAAGAGAAUCAAUCAAAUGAUUGAUAUGUGUAUAAGUAAAAUUUUGCGAGGCAGCUGAAGUAGGACUAUAGAAGCUAACAAUAGAGAUUUCUUCAUUGUUGAACUGUAAUCUAAUAGCUAUUUUCUGCAAAGAAUCAUCAUGUAAUGUAUUUAAUCUAAUAUAGUUUAAAUUAUUUUUUAUAAGUAU